rnacentral:lncRNA from 1 species
CUCAGGGAAGGGAGUGGGAGCUGAAGACUAAGAUUCUCUAAGAAUUCUUGAAGAAGACUUAAUGAGUUUCCGAGCUGAUGAAUGCAUCCACAUGCCAGGAGAGUGUCACAACCCAGUUCCAUGGAGAAUGAAGCUCCUGUACUUGAGACCCUUCCAGACUUUGCGCUACGUACUUCUUCAUCUGGCUGUUCAUCUAUCUGUAUCCUUUAUAAUAAACUGAUAAAUGCCUCGUUGGGUCUGCUGGCCCUCUUGCCCACCUCCCUGCACCACAGUGGGGGCACAUGCCUCUGUGAAACUGUCCUCAGGCCCAUCCACCAAGAUGCCUCACUCAGCCAUGAACACAUCACUUCCCAGGUGCCAUCUUGGAGAGGUAACCUGAUUCUUCUGCUUGAGUGGCUUCACGAAGCAGCGAACACUUUUCCUGUCCAUUGUUGAACCCCUCAUGCCUAACCCAGUGCCUAGAACACAGGCUCGUCAUAGAUGUGUGGAAUGAAUGGAUGACAGAAAACAACGAAGAGCCAGUUGUCGGUGGAGGAUCCCAAAGGAGCAGUUCCGCCUUCAUGUUGAAGACUUUCUUUGCCCUGCAUGUUGUAACCACAUAAAGCUAGCUGGGAGCCACGUGGCUGCCC